UAAAUGGGUGUCUACAUAAGGGUUGUUCAAAAAUGAUGAGGAGCAAUCUUUUUUCUUCUUUUGGCCACAUAGCUUAUCAAGUUUAUAUUGGUAGAUUUUGUGGUCAUUCGCUUCUUAUUUAUGCAAUUAGUUUGUUUAUUACCUAUGUUCAUUGUUUGGUUUUUUUAGCUAUCUUGAAUUCUAAAUCAUUGUAAUAUCAAUUUGCCAAAAACCUAUUCUAGUUGAAAUGCUGUGUUGGCUUGACUUAGUUACCAUUUUUUGGUAAUCUGAUGAAAUUUGAACUUUUUUUGUUGAUGUUAAAGUGAAACAAAUGUAAAAAACAUGAGAAGAGUAAUUUUAACUUUUCCAUAAGCAAAGAUAUAUCCAGGAGCUGACCCUUUUCUCAAGUUUGGGCCUCGACCUUAAACAACAAUUUGCAGUUCUCUCAAAUUCCUUCCCCCCUCUUCCUAGUUAUGAUAAAGUCUAAUAUCCUUUUAACUUCACUUAUCUAUUUAUUUAGCAUCCUUCUACAUGACUAGCUUGGGGUUAUGGAUUUUCUCCUUAUAUUUACUAGUUUAUUAUUAACUGAAUCUUUUUAUUCCUUUAUUGUAUUUCUCUGCUUAUAUUAACUUUAAGCAAUGCUUUAGCCCCUUUCUGUAGUAGUGGCUAGUUGCAAUGAUGCGAUAUGGAUGCUUGGUUGUUUUGGAAGUAAUGCUAAUUAGUUAUGCAACCACUUUUAUGUUAGGCAAACCUAUGGUUGUAACCUGCCCUUCUGUGUCUACUCUAAAGAUCAAAUCCUAUCAAUACUUCAAGAGAGGUUCUUGAUACUUCCAUAUAUUGUCUUUCAGCAAUAAACAUUACAACUUUAUGCCAAAAAAGUCGCAGCUACCUUUGGAGGUAUGCAGAAGGCUCUUUACGUUUGUAGAAGCAGAAUUAAGAGAAUGUGCAAGCAACCUGAGUUUGCCAUUAGUGGAGGGGGAGUUCAUUAGUUAGUAGAUACCUCCGGCUCUUGAAAUCUUCCAAUCAUAAGAAAAUAAUACUUAAAAUUUUUAUGGUGGAAAGAAGGAUACAAUUGUUGGGGAGGGUCUCUUCAACCUAGGCCAAUCUCAAAUUGAUAAAUCAAAGAGAGUAACACUACAGGUUGAUGAAGCCGGCAUCUCUUUUGCACUAUAGGUACAAAUUCGUCAUUUGAGAAAGGUAGACAACAUUUUAUCUUCUUGAGUUUUAAUUUGUUUCUUGUUGUUAUCUAUUUACUUGGAAUAGGGAAUUUGAAAAAGUUUUGUGCGUGCUUACAAUGAGAUUUAGGUUGUUGGACAUCUAUCUUAUUUGUUGCCAAAUAAUGAAAGUUGAUGUUAAAAUCUAUACCCAGAGUAUCUAAUUGCUUUAAUAUGUUGCUUUAAAUUAGAGUAUCUUAUAAUCUAAUGUUCUUCUACUUUUCUUAUUUUAGAAUUAGCAAACUUGUUAGAACAUCUUUUUUGCUAGAGCAAAAAUUAGGAUAAAGGAGCUUUCUUUAUGUAAA